rnacentral:sRNA from 1 species
UCCCCAACCCCAAACCUUCAUAUUUAUAAUAAGCCUUGUCAGCCUUAGAGCUGGGCAGACAUCGCCCCUCUAUGGCUGUUACGUCUCCUUCCCUGUCAGUAACCCUCACAUUACAGCUUAGCAUGUUGUGCUUGGGCCAUUCUCAUUCCGAUUGGCCAGCCCCCAUGGCCAUGUUUUCAUGAUUCGCCUGUCCCAUGCUGUCUUCUCUCUUCUCUUCCUUCCUCUGCCUCACAUCCCGUGCCUGGGGACCCGACCUACCUCUCUUGUGCCCAGCUAUAGGCUGUCAGCAUCUUUAUUCCAACCAAUAGCUUUAAGGAGUGAGAUCACACAGCAUCACUAGGGAUAAGGGAGGAUUCUCUCAUCCCUGGGGCAACCAGACCUUGAGGGCCAACAUUUAGUAUUACAUAGCAACAGACCAAAACUCUACAGGGGCUGCCAUUCUGGAUGGCCUCAGUGUCCCAGUCUUGACGGGAGGGGGAUUCAUGCUCUCAGAUUUCUAUAUUGAGGGAAAAGUAAGCGGACCUCGGCUGCAGAACUUCUGGACCCCUCUUCAACCUCCAGCAAACUGGCUACAGGCACAGAUGCUCCUCUCCUUGUUAAGUACUUGGAGGCUGAAGGAAAGAAGGCUGUAAAGAGCUAGACAAAAGAAACUGAAGGAGGAAUUGGAGAAAGCUAAGCCUGAGACCAUGGAUUUCAGACACCCCAGGCAUAGGGGCUGGAACAGGUGGAGGAGCCCUGGACUGUGAGACUGACGAAUCACAAUUUCCUGAGUCCUAACCACAAAUUAACACUAGAUGGCGCCACGAGUCCACACUAUACAGCUGCCACCUGCUGAGCGAAAACUGCUCGGCCCUUGAAGCUAGCUGGCUGAUUUCUCUAAUUUUGGUCCACUUCUAUACUCGUAGAGCAAAAGGAUUCAAGCCAGUGAAUUGAUAACAGCACGUCGUCUCUAGAGCAUGGUCUCCUGAGCCUGAUUCUAGAUUUCUUGCUCCUGUUGUUGACAGUCAUCUGUUAUGUUAGUCUUUGGGGACAUCAUUGGGGGAAUAGCUGGAUAGACUGGGUCCCAAGAGUGAGGUCAACUGUGGAACCCUCUGGAUAUGCCCAGCCCUCCCC